GUGGGGAAUCUUAGACAAUGGGGGAAACCCUGAUCUAGCCAUGCCGCGUGAGCGAUGAAGGCCUUAGGGUUGUAAAGCUCUUUCAGAUGGGAAGAUAAUGACGGUACCAUCAGAAGAAGCCCCGGCUAACUCCGUGCCAGCAGCCGCGGUAAUACGGAGGGGGCUAGCGUUGUUCGGAAUUACUGGGCGUAAAGCGCACGUAGGCGGACCAGAAAGUCAGAGGUGAAAUCCCAGGGCUCAACCUUGGAACUGCCUUUGAAACUCCGGGGCUUGAGGUCGAGAGGGGUGAGUGGAAGUCCGCGUGUAGAGGUGAAAUUCGGAGAGAGUCGGAGGAACACCAGUGGCGAAGGCGGCUCACUGGCUCGAUACUGACGCUGAGGUGCGAAAGCGUGGGGAGCAAACAGGAUUAGAUACCCUAGUAGUCC
rnacentral:rRNA from 1 species